rnacentral:rRNA from 1 species
GAUGAACGCUGGCGGCGUGCCUAAUACAUGCCAGUCGAGCGAACGGACGAGAAGCUUGCUUUUCUGAUGUUAGCGGCGGACGGGUGAGUAACACGUGGAUAACCUACCUAUAAGACUGGGAUAACUUCGGGAAACCGGAGCUAAUACCGGAUAAUAUUUUGAACCGCAUGGUUCAAAAGUGAAAGACGGUCUUGCUGUCACUUAUAGAUGGAUCCGCGCUGCAUUAGCUAGUUGGUAAGGUAACGGCUUACCAAGGCAACGAUGCAUAGCCGACCUGAGAGGGUGAUCGGCCACACUGGAACUGAGACACGGUACAGACUCCUACGGGAGGAAGCAGUAGGGAAUCUUCCGCAAUGGGCGAAAGCCUGACGGAGAAACGCCGCGUGAGUGAUGAAGGUCUUCGGAUCGUAAAACUCUGUUAUUAGGGAAGAACAUAUGUGUAAGUAACUGUGCACAUCUUGACGGUACCUAAUCAGAAAGCCACGGCUAACUACGUG